UCGGGGGAAUCCCGCGAGGGGGAACCGGCGUGAGGGGCAGUGAGGCAUGGGUACCUACCUUUGGGUUCGGGAUAGCCAUCAGAGAUGGUGGGUGAUAUCCCGGAUGACGUCGUGAGACCAAAGAUCAGGCCCUUAGAGGGGCCCAUGUGAUAUUAGCUAGUUGGUGAGGUAAUGGCUCACCGAGGCGAAGAUGUCUAGCGGGUGUGGGAGCACGACCCGCGCCACUCGCACUGAGACACUGGCGAGACACCUACGGGUGGCUGCAGUCGAGGAUCUUCGGCAAUGAACGCAAGUUCGACCGAGCGACGCCGCGUGAGCGAUGGAGGCCUUCGGGUUGUAAAGCUCUUUAGUGGGGGAGAAAAGCCCGCGAGGGUGUGAUCUAUCCCAAAGAUAUCAGCACGGGCUAAGUUCGUGCCAGCAGCCGCGGUAAGACGAACCGUGCGAACGUUAUUCGGGAUAUCACUGGGCUUAGAGGGAGCGUAGGCGGACUAUCAAGCCUGGGGUGAAAUCCCGCGGCUCAACCGUGGAACUGCCUCAGAUACUGACGGUCUCGAGGGAGAUAGGGGCAUGCGGAACUGUAGGUGGAGCGGUGAAAUGCGUUGAUAUCUACAGGAACUCCGGUGGCGAAAGCGGCGUGCUGGAUCUCUUCUGACGCUGAGGCUCGAAAGCUAGGGGAGCAAACGGGAUUAGAUACCCCGGUAGUCCUAGCCCUAAACAAUG
rnacentral:rRNA from 1 species